UACAGAGGGUGCAAGCGUUAAUCGGAAUUACUGGGCGUAAAGCGUGCGUAGACGGUUAUGUAAGUCAGAUGUGAAAGCCCCGGGCUUAACCUGGGAAUGGCAUUUGAGACUGCAUAGCUAGGGUGCGGAAGAGGGAAGCGGAAUUUCCGGUGUAGCGGUGAAAUGCGUAGAUAUCGGAAGGAACACCAGUGGCGAACGCGGCUUCCUGGUCCAGCACCGACGUUCAGGCACGAAAGCGUGGGGAGCAAACAGG
rnacentral:rRNA from 1 species